rnacentral:miRNA from 1 species
ACCUGGGGAUCUUGUUAAAUUGCAGCUGAUUUGGGUGGUGCCUAAGAUUCUGCAUCUUUAACAAGCUCCCAGGUGAUG